rnacentral:rRNA from 1 species
GCUUGCUCUUCUUGGAUGAGUUGCGAACGGGUGAGUAACGCGUAGGUAACCUGCCUUGUAGCGGGGGAUAACUAUUGGAAACGAUAGCUAAUACCGCAUAACAAUGGAUGACCCAUGUCAUUUAUUUGAAAGGGGCAAAUGCUCCACUACAAGAUGGACCUGCGUUGUAUUAGCUAGUAGGUGAGGUAACGGCUCACCUAGGCGACGAUACAUAGCCGACCUGAGAGGGUGAUCGGCCACACUGGGACUGAGACACGGCCCAGACUCCUACGGGAGGCAGCAGUAGGGAAUCUUCGGCAAUGGGGGCAACCCUGACCGAGCAACGCCGCGUGAGUGAAGAAGGUUUUCGGAUCGUAAAGCUCUGUUGUAAGUCAAGAACGAGUGUGAGAGUGGAAAGUUCACACUGUGACGGUAGCUUACCAGAAAGGGACGGCUAACUACGUGCCAGCAGCCGCGGUAAUACGUAGGUCCCGAGCGUUGUCCGGAUUUAUUGGGCGUAAAGCGAGCGCAGGCGGUUUGAUAAGUCUGAAGUUAAAGGCUGUGGCUCAACCAUAGUUCGCUUUGGAAACUGUCAAACUUGAGUGCAGAAGGGGAGAGUGGAAUUCCAUGUGUAGCGGUGAAAUGCGUAGAUAUAUGGAGGAAC